GUAAAUUUCAACUUGCAUUUCUUUUAACACCUAGUCAUGAUAACUUUGUUGUACAUUAAGAAAGCUCUAAAAUAUUUGUAAAAUUAUUUCAGUAAGAAUACUUCAAGGUCAGUUGGAUCUGAUUUUCUCUUCAUCUCUGAUAAAAAUGAAGCCAUUACAAUUUUUUUUUUAAUUUAAUAAAAUUAAAUCAGGCUUCCAGGGAUUCCAGGAUGGUAGUUUCUGACCUGGCAUUUAGAAGUGUCAAAAGUACAGCCAGAUCAAUCAAAGGGAGCAGUUCUUGUUUUGGUGAUGGCAUCUGUCACCUUGUCAGCUGGACACAAAGUCGAAACUGGGCUUCUAUUUCAGAUAAUACUGCUGAAACUGGUUUCAGUCCCACAGCACUGUUAUCUAUAUACGUCUGGCAAGAGAAAACCACCUUACUUCUCAAAACUUUUCGCUUGCUAUCCCUAACCGUACAUUGGCUACACUUAAGAUUCUUUUUUUUUUUUAAAUCUAAUCCAUUUUCAAUAUAUGCAGAUGGUUUCUUUUUUUUCUUUCUUUCACUGAGCUGUUGCCUCAUAAUACUGUAUACUAGGAAAGGAUAAAAUGGGAUAUAUCAAGUUAGACUCCAGGUUCAAUAUUUGUAUAUUUCAUAAUUUCCCUCAGAAUGCCUUACCAUCCUUAGAUACUAUACUAGGUAUCUCACAAAAAGUGCAUUUUGUAUCCAUUCAAUGUGGAUAUCAGCUGGAAGAAAGAGGGCAGAGGAAAGGGCAGAAAAGGAAAGAGAAAAGACAAGGUGAGAGAGGAACAGAAUGAAUGCAUAAUGACUAAAAGAAGGUUCUUGCACAGCAGCUCUAGAGAAUCAGCUGCAGCAGUGGUUUUUUUUUUUUCCAAGUGUGGUUGGAGGACCACCUGCAACUGGGCUUGUUAGAAGCAGAGCUUCCUGAAUGCUGGCCCAUAUCUGCUAAGUCAGCUCCCCUUGGGAUGGAACUCAAGGACCUGUAUUUUUCAGGAGCACCAAAGAUGAUCUUGUGUCCACUAAAGUUUGAAAUCUGUUGCAGUAAAGUGUAAAUAAAGUUAAUUGAAAAUUCUGACCCAUAACCUGAUUUAGAAAAAUGGUAUUGGCUGAGAAAACCUAGUCAUCUAUUAUGACUUGUUCUCAAGCAUUAAGAGCAGUAUAAAUGCACAGAACCUGCUAAGAAAAUAAAUGUUCCAUGGGGAAAGCAUUGGAAAGCAGAAACUGAUGAGGACUUAUUCACCCUAUAUUGUUCACUCCUGUUGGAAGGCUCAUCCUUGAAAUGCAAGCAGGAGCAUAUUAGGAUAGAAUGACUAUUUACCUACAGAGUGUUUUUCUUUCAAGUGAACCUAAAUGAUAAGUAUAAUUAAUGUUUAAGUAACACAAUAAUUAAACUGUGUAGGUUUAGCCUCUCUCUGAAUUGCUGAAGCAUACAAAUUAUUUGAAGAAUUUGAAUACCAAAUGCUGUUUGCAUGCCAACAUAUUUACUAUAAAUCUAUUGAUGGUGAAACAUAAUUUGCCCAGACAAAUAUUAUAAAUAUCAUCUAAAUAACAGAUAGUACUGAUUGAUCAUUGCUAAUAUAUUUGAGGGAAUAUUUUAAUUAUAACUUCUGACAGCAUAAGCUUAUUUCUCUAUACACUUUAAAAGAUUUUUUCUCAUCUAAGAAAAAAAUAGCAUAAAAGAAAACAAGAAACGAAUUCACAACCCCGAAGGUCAAAUGCUAAUUUUGGGUUUCCUUCAUUUAAAAAAAAUAUUCCCAAUAUCAGUGUCAAAACCAUUGAUUAUUAGUGAAAAAUACAUUUCCUAUGGUGCUCUUUUCGACUUGUACAUUUUAAUCUCUGUUAAAAACAUGUUAGUCUCUGCUUCUUUUCCCUCCAAUGUUUGAAGCUGAAUCACAACACCAGGAUAUUAUGCAAAUCAAGACAAUUCUUUCCACAGCUCUGAAAAUUUAAUGUCAAAAAAUACAUAUUUUAGCAUACAUAAUUUAGUGAAAAGUUCAUUUUUAUUUUUUAUGCAAAAGUGCUCUAAGCUUUGGAGUAAGAGAAUUUUGUGGGUUCCUGGUUUUACCACAUGAUUUAAGAGUGUUUACUUCCUCAUGGAUAUCUAAAGAUGUUAGCAUCUGACUUUUUUUUUUNNNNNNNNNNNNNNNNNNNNNNNNNNNNNNNNNNNNNNNNNNNNNNNNNNNNNNNNNNNNNNAGCAUAAAUGAAAAAUUACUCAAAGGAUCAGUGGUUGACAUGCGCCUAACUCCUGGCCAAUAAUGUGGACUGUGCUUCCUGGGAGGAGUGAGCCAUGUCACGCCCUUAGGGUAGGAUGGAGUAAUGUUGUCUGUAACUCAGCUUGUCCCGUAAAUGCUUUUGAAAGCUAUCACAGUCAAAAACACCAGCCCAUUUAGAAACACUGCCCUGAACACCACCAGCAAUGACAAGAUCUUCAGUUACUUACUGUGGGCCCCUCCCAAACAAAACAGGCGCUCAUCCCAAAAUGACUGGGUUCUGCUUCGUGGGCCAGGUGGGGUUGUGAGAGUGGGGAAACUCAUUUCUAGAUUCUGAGAAAGGGGAUGGAUCUUGCCAGGCCUCCGUUUCCUCAUUUUAGGGAAAGUGUUUUGAGGUAGACAAUUUUGAGAAUUUUCCUUGGUUGCACAAUACAUCUGAGUUGAUAAGAAAAAUGCAAAGUAUGUGGUGGUAAGAUAAGCAAUAAUCAGAUCAUAAUGAGGUUAAAUGUGAAUAAAAAUUAAGAAAAGAUAGAAAAGUGUUAUGAAAAUCUAAAUAUGAAACACGUUGGGGUAGAAAGGAAAGACAUAAGAGUGAGAACAAUAGGAAAAUGUAUUACCAGAGUGUCUUUAAAAGUAUAAAAUGAUAGACAAUGUUUAGUAGAGGGAUCACGUUAAGAAAAAAGAAUAGCAAUAUGUUAUUCCAAGCUUGUAUGCAAGUAGGUAGAAGAUUAAUGGAAUGAUAUUUUAAAGUAUACUUUUCAACACAUAUGCUUUAGGAAUUUUAACUAUGUUUUUUAAAGUUAUUUAACAAAAAUAGCAAUGUGGAUUCAUUUUGUAUUUUCUCACCUUUUCUUUAUUAUGGAAGUUAUUUUCAAUAUUAAACACAAAUUUCCAAAAUUGAUUAAAAACAAACAGCCCCACUUAACCUCACAUGGUCAAUAAUUUUUUUGAUGUCAGAAUAUCCUGCUAUAUCCAAUCUUAAUACAAUUUAACAUCUAAUUCUACUUCCAUUCUUUUAAACUACACUCAUGUCUGUAAAAUAAUGAUAAGAAAAUUUUAAUUCCUAGGCACUCGCAUUUUCUGUGUGUUGGAAACCUUUUGAGUUUUCUACAUCUGUGUAAACAAACCAAAGUACUAAGUAUGGCAUAAAUCCUGUGGAUCUGACUAAGGCUUGUAUUUCAUGUUUUAUUAUAAAAAUUAUAAGUUUUUACUCUUAUAUCUCUCUAUUAUGCCAAAUCAAUUAUUGUUUUAGUAGUUACUUAUGGAUCAUCAGAAUGGACCAGGUACUUUUCAAGAUGUUGUGGGAGAAGUGUGAUAUGCUACAGAUACAGAAAUAGAUGAUGAUGACAGACAGAAUCACACAUACACAAAGUGAAAAGAAAGGGAAAGUCGCUCAGUCGUGUCCAAGUCUUUGUGACCCCAUGGACUGUGCAGUCCAUGGAAUUCUCCAGGCCAGAANNNNNNNNNNNNUAGCUGUUCCCUUCUCCAGGGGAUCUUCCCAACCCAGGGAGCGAACCCAGAUCUCCCUCAUUGCAGGCGAUUCUUUACCAGCUGAGCCACAAGACUGAUCUAUUAUUAAACAUAUAAAUAUUUUUGAGUGAUUGAGUCAGUAAAUACUCUAAGAAUUUAGUGAAGAUGGAAUCAUUUUCAGUUGUAGUAAAUAAACUAUUUAAUGGCAAAAUUAGAAUUAUUUGGCCAGUCAAACCUGGGAUUUGAACAGGUGCCAAGAGCUGCAAAGGAAAAGGCAUGAAUAAAAGUAGGGGUGUGCAGUGUGGCAAGUGGUUUCAGGGGAAAUGGAUGACGGGAGAUGAGACGUUGGAUAGCAUCACUGAAUCAAUGGACAUGAGUUUGAGCAAACUCUGGGAGGUAGUAGAGGGCAGGGAAACAUGGCAUGCUGAGUUCAUGUGGUCGCAAAGAGUUGGGCACAACAACUCAAAGUGGUUUGGGAGACACGGAGAUUAGCAGAUGAACCUGGCUAUUGCAGUGACCUCAUAUGAGGGACGGUAUAUAUGUCUGGGAUUGAGGUAGAAAAAGCCUUAAAUGCCAGCCUAGUAGACUUGAAAUUUAUCCUGUGGGCAGAAGAAAGCCUUAGGGAUAAUAGAAACAUUUACAUUAUUAAAUAUGAUGAGGGUAGAUUAGUCUGCCUGAAUUCUUAUUUCUGAAUGUGUAUACAAGUCAGUGCCCUGUGUAGCACAUGAAGGCUUAUUCACAUCACAAAGAGUCAUUUGUUGGGUGCUUAACGGUGAACCUUGCCCACACCAGGGCAUGUACAACGAUUGCUCCCUAGUGUUCUUUAGGAAUUGAGCCCGUGAGACUUAUGCAGGAUACAGCAUGCUUGGGGCUGGUGCANNNNNNNNNNNNNNNNNNNNNNNNNNNNNNNNNNNNNNNNNNNNNNNNNNNNNNNNNNNNNNNNNNNNNNNNNNNNNNNNNNNNNNNNNNNNNNNNNNNNNNNNNNNNNNNNNNNNNGUAAAGUAAAAUAAAGUAAAAAACAACAACAACAACAACAACAACAAAAACAAAAAAAGAUAAAUAACAUGGUAAAAAAAAAAAAAAAAGAAUUGAGCCCAUGGAAUUGAAAGGUUCUUAGCGUCCUGAAUACAGCACACUUUUGUACCUAUUGGGCUAAAUUGUGCUAUGUAGUAUAAGCUAAAUAUGUUAGUCACAGUUAUAAUUAGGCUUCUAAAAAUACCAGAUAGUGGACUUACUAUCACCUUGUAGCAGGUAUAUAGGCUCACAUUAACUUAGCACAUGAAGGAACCAGAUGCUGGAAAGAAUUUGACUUGCCAUGAAUUCUGUUCAGUUCAGUCACUCAGUUGUGUCCGACUCUCUGUGACCCCAUGGACCGCAGCAUUCCAGGCCUCCCUGUCCAUCACCAACUCCUGGAGUUUACUCAA
ensembl:lncRNA